rnacentral:rRNA from 1 species
GGCUCAGAUUGAACGCUAGCGGGAUGCCUUACACAUGCAAGUCGAACGGCAGCACGGACUUCGGUCUGGUGGCGAGUGGCGAACGGGUGAGUAAUGUAUCGGAACGUGCCUAGUAGCGGGGGAUAACUACGCGAAAGCGUAGCUAAUACCGCAUACGCCCUACGGGGGAAAGCAGGGGAUCGCAAGACCUUGCACUAUUAGAGCGGCCGAUAUCGGAUUAGCUAGUUGGUGGGGUAACGGCUCACCAAGGCGACGAUCCGUAGCUGGUUUGAGAGGACGACCAGCCACACUGGGACUGAGACACGGCCCAGACUCCUACGGGAGGCAGCAGUGGGGAAUUUUGGACAAUGGGGGAAACCCUGAUCCAGCCAUCCCGCGUGUGCGAUGAAGGCCUUCGGGUUGUAAAGCACUUUUGGCAGGAAAGAAACGUCAUGGGUUAAUACCCCGUGAAACUGACGGUACCUGCAGAAUAAGCACCGGCUAACUACGUGCCAGCAGCCGCGGUAAUACGUAGGGUGCAAGCGUUAAUCGGAAUUACUGGGCGUAAAGCGUGCGCAGGCGGUUCGGAAAGAAAGAUGUGAAAUCCCAGAGCUUAACUUUGGAACUGCAUUUUUAACUACCGAGCUAGAGUGUGUCAGAGGGAGGUGGAAUUCCGCGUGUAGCAGUGAAAUGCGUAGAUAUGCGGAGGAACACCGAUGGCGAAGG